rnacentral:rRNA from 1 species
CAAUAGCGUAUAUUAAAGUUGUUGCGGUUAAAAAGCUCGUAGUUGGAUUUCUGCCGAGGACGACCGGUCCGCCCUCCGGGUGAGUAUCUGGCUCGGCCUGGGCAUCUUCUUGGAGAACGUAGCUGCACUUGGCUGUGUGGUGCGGUAUUCAGGACUUUUACUUUGAGGAAAUUAGAGUGUUUCAAGCAGGCACACGCCUUGAAUACAUUAGCAUGGAAUAAUAAGAUAGGACCUCGGUUCUAUUUUGUUGGUUUCUAGAUCUGAGGUAAUGAUUAAUAGGGAUAGUUGGGGGCAUUCGUAUUUAACUGUCAGAGGUGAAAUUCUUGGAUUUGUUAAAGACGGACUGCUGCGAAAGCAUUUGCCAAGGAUGUUUUCAUUGA